UCAUCUUAUUAUUUAGUACAGUUUGUGAAGUGGUAUGGAAACUUACAGAGUUUUUUUCACCUCUACUGUAAGGCUGAAAACCUUAAGCUUGUAAAACAUUUAUCCCAAAGAGAGAAAUGACCAACUAUAUCUAAGUUUGCCUCAGUCACAAAACUACCAUAUAAUUUGACAUGAACUUGACAUUCCCAGGGUCUAUUGUCCAUUGUGCAGUUCUUCACAAUAGGCAAUAGAUGUGUGAAGCUCCAUGCCAAAAGUCAUUAAAGCCACUACAAGUUUGCAUGGACUCAAGGAGAUGCUGGGCAAGUGCCAGAAAGUGAUAUAACCAAGAAUUCUCAAAUACAUAGAAACCACAUCCAGCUCAGGAUGUCCCUCAGCUCAAAAUAGAUUAAUACUGAGAGAAUAUUUUUAUUCCUUCCUAAGCAUUUGCUUAUGGCCAGUUCUUGAAUUGAUGCAGACACACUGCUCUUGCACUUUUAGUAUAAUGUCUGACUCAUUCAGAUGCUCUAACCUUGCAGCCACAGAACCAUAAUGAAGGAGAAGGGAUAUUGGAUGAGGUGGACCUUUGGUCUGACCCAGUGCAGUCAUUCAUCCAUUCUUCUGAGACCAUCUCUGACCAAAUUUGGGAAGAUAUUUAAAUUCUGAUUUUUACACAAUGUCAUCCGUCUUGAAUUAAAUGCUGUAGUCAAAUUAUUUCACAAAAGAAGUCUGAGAUAAAGAUAAUCUUAAAAACUUUGAAGAGGAGGAGAAGAGAGAGUUGCAUCAGAUAGAGUUCUGGACCUCCCAAAGAAAUGUAAUUUUUGUGCUAAUAGCACAGUCUGCUUCCAAGAAUAUGGCAGCUUUGAUAAAUGAAGCAACACUGAUAACCACUGAGGUCUUGAAACAGAAAAUCACCAGAUGCUUGAUGACCUGCUUAAAUGGUACAACCUCUACAAAAGCUGUUUAAGGUGCAGCCAGGAUUACUGAAAACAACUUUAUCUGUGGUACAGAGGAAUGUAGCACAGAAAAAUGGAUGACCUACCAGGUACGGGUUUCUGCUAGAUUGAGAUGCUGCAGAGAAGAAAAUCUAGUGUUGCAUUGUGACCUUGCAGUUGUGCUGAAGGUGCAGCAGUGAUGGGCUUCAAAGGGAGGAUUGAGAAAACAUACUUGAACUUUCAUUAUAGAAGGAAAGUUCAAAAUUAGAGAAUGGAAUUUAUAAACACAAUAAAAAAUGAAGGGUCGUUACAACUCUGCUGUAAUCAGGAAUACACUGGUUUUACACUCAGUAAUGGCUCCAAUUAAAAUAAAUGUCAGUGUUACCUUAUUCAGCAUUUCAUACUGAAUUAAUUUCAACUUUCAGCAUAACUGUUACUGAAACUACUGAAUGUAAAAGGGAUCUUUUGAACUUCUGUGGAGUAAAUCUAAUAUCCUGGACAGUUACCUUCUUGACAUCCACUUUAGAGGUAGUAAGACAUUAUCCCAUUGCAAAGAAAGUGUGUGUAUAAAUUAAUUUAAUGAAUUCUGGCUUCUGUUACUUUCUGCUGGUGUCCUUUACUUUGUCUCAUCUGUUUAGUUUUCUGUAUUUUUUUUUUCUGUUAGAGGCUGUCAGAAACUGAUCUUAGAAGUUAUAAUCUACACAGCGAUGUGCUGGAACUUUUAAGAUCAAUCUUGCCAAUAUUGCGAACUUAAAGUAUUACGGAAAUCUGAUUAAAUAAUGGUGCUUAGUUCAAAGCAAAUAUGUCAAUAUUUAAUAAUAAAUAUGGUUUUAAUAAUAAAUAUGUUCUAGGAAAAAAUGUUGAUUGCAAUGUUUAAUUAGUCAAUGGGAAUACCAGAAUUUAGAUUAAACUUUCAGUAUGAUUUAUGUUUUUCUGAACAAGUGGCACGGCAGAACUAACUCUCUCUUUAUCCAGUCUUUCCAUGUGUAAUCUUUGUGUCAAAUGAAAGUGCUUUAGAAGAAAAAUUCUGUGUAGGUAGAAAGUUUAAAAAAAUAAGCAAGUCUGAAAAAUAUGCCUGGUCAUUGGAAAAUAAAUAUAGUGUGUUUAGGACAUUCAGGUUUAAACACAUAACAUUGUCACAAGAUCAGUGACUCCUACAGAAAACAAAUCAUGUGUUUAGACAAAGUCAGCAGCUUUAUGGAGAAAUAAAUAUAAUUUUACAACUUAAUUACAGUAUAAACAUUUCUUGUGGUAGCAAAUACUUUGUUGUUAUUGUUGUAUUAAUCUUACAGGACAUAUGGAUGUUUGUUUCAGUAUCUCCUGGGACCUGCUAAAUCCUCUGAGCAUAACUCUGGCCGCUGUUGUAAAGAGCCAAACUUUUUAGCCAUUUUUCAUCUUUGUGGCUAAACCUUUAAUAAAUAAAU